rnacentral:rRNA from 1 species
CACGUAGGCGGACCGGAAAGUUGGAGGUGAAAUCCCAGGGCUCAACCUUGGAACUGCCUUCAAAACUAUCGGUCUGGAGUUCGAGAGAGGUGAGUGGAAUUCCGAGUGUAGAGGUGAAAUUCGUAGAUAUUCGGAGGAACACCAGUGGCGAAGGCGGCUCACUGGCUCGAUACUGACGCUGAGGUGCGAAAGCGUGGGGAGGCAAACA